AGCGAACGCUGGCGGCAGGCCUAACACAUGCAAGUCGAACGGACCCUUCGGGGUUAGUGUCGGACGGGUGAGUAACACGUGGGAACGUGCCUUUAGGUUCGGAAUAGCUCCUGGAAACGGGUGGUAAUGCCGAAUGUGCCCUUCGGGGGAAAGAGUUAUCGCCUUUAGAGCGGCCCGCGUCUGAUUAGGUAGUUGGUGAGGUAAUGGCUCACGAAGGCGACGAUCAGUAGCUGGUCUGACAGGAUGACCAGCCACAGUGGGACGGAGACACGGCCGAAACUCCUACGGGAGGCAGCAGUGAGGAAUCUUGCGCAAUGGGCGCAAGCCUGACGCAGCCAUGCCGCGUGGAUGAUGAAGUUCUUAGGAUUGUAAAAUCCUUUAACCGGUAAAGAUAAUGACGGUAGCCGGAGAAGAAGCCCCGGCUAACUUCGUGCCAGCCGCCGCGGUAA
rnacentral:rRNA from 1 species